rnacentral:rRNA from 1 species
AUGUUCUAUGUAUGUUGGGACACAGACUUGGUUAUGAACUGCUUCCACCACGAUGAUGUUCAGCAUAUCCUCCGCAUCCCUAUCUGUGACCAAGCGGAAGACUUUAUAGCCUGGCAUUUCGACAGUAAGGGGGUUUUUUCGGUCAAGUCGGCAUACAAAAUUCAUGUACAGAUGCAAAAAAGAGAGGCCAUAAGGCAACAGGGCCAUAGUUCCAUGGUUGCUAAUCAAAGCGCUGAGUUGUUCAGAGCACUGUGGAAAAUUCGUUGCCCGUCGCAUGUACAUCAUUUCCUCUGGAGGUUUGCUCACAACAGCCAUCCUAUGUAUGUGAACAUUAACAGACGGGGUGUAGAUUUAGACACCAGGUGCGCGGUCUGUGGAAUUUUUUUCGAAGAUGGAGGGCAUCUAUUCGUCAAGUGCAAAAUGGUUAAGCAGAGAUGGCGUGCCUUGUUACUUGAGGAUGUCAGACUUCGACUUGUCGAAUGCAACUCGGCCAAGGAAUGUCUAGCAUUUAUAUUCAGUCUGCCACAAGAGCGUUUGUUGCUGUCAGUAGCUCUUCUUUGGUGCUGGUGGACAGAACGCAACAAAGGCAACCAUGGUGAACAAAGAAUGGAGGUUGAGGCCUUUCAUUACACAGUGCAGCACCAUGCAAACGAAUGGAAAGAAUUCCUGGUGCCCAAGCCGAAGAGCACAGUAGUUCAACAGCAAACAUGGACGAAGCCUCCAAGUCAUAUGGUUAAGAUCAAUACCGACGCUACAUUUUCUGACCGGUCUGGAGCUGGGGGAUGGGGCCUUAUUUGCAGAGAUGAUGAGCAGGAUAUUCAGUUUGCAGCCGCUGGGGGUAAACAUGAUUUUGCUGAUGCCUUGCAUGCUGAAACUUUUUCCCUCGCUCAGGCUGUAGCGACGGCGGACCGUCUUGGUGUGGGUCAGGCAAUCUUUGAAACUGACUAUCUGGUGCUCAAGCAAGCUACUACAUCUAAUGCCUAUGAUCUUGCACCGUUGGGUGUCAUGUUUAGCGACAUUAGGUUCAAACUCCAAACUCUUUUCAUAGAGGCUCGUGUGGCGUAUGUGGCCAGAACCUGUAAUAGGCCGGGGCAUGUGCUGGCUAGUAAGGGUGCGGGACUAGCUGAUGGUGAACACAGAGAAUGGUUCACUAGCUAUUCUGAUGAUGUAAUCAGUGCGGUGACCGGCGAUCAGGCCAUGUCGUAA